rnacentral:lncRNA from 1 species
GCACAAUCAAUAAGGAAGCACAAGAUUAUUGGAGAAAAAAUGGAAGGACUCUCACAACAUUGCCGAAAUUAAUAGAGAGAAUAAGGAAGCACAAGAUUCUUGGAGAAAAAAGGGAAAGACUCUCACAACAUUGCCGAAAUCAAUGGAGAGAAUAAGGAAGCUAAAAAUCAGAGCAAUAUGAAGAUUUAUCAGUUUCGGCUAAUAUGGAAGAUCCUAAUGUAAAGCUGUCAAAAAACAAGUAAUUGCACCAGAUUUUAUGGGAUUCAUUUUUCUGUAUUAUUAAUUUAAAUACUCCUCUUGUAAUGCCUAAUGCCAAUCAUUGAAUAAAAGACAUAUCAAUUUAAGCUUUCUUUUUCCUUUUUUUUAAUCCUUUUUCCUUCCUGGUAUCAGAGCAGGAGUGAACUUUAGGCAACAAACUACAGCUCUUUCUUCAGCUCACCAUGGCUACACUAUCUCGCAAUGUUGGCAACUUCAUCACUCUAAGACUCACUCCAAAUAACUACCCCUUAUGGCGUGAGCAAGCAUUAGCUUUUGCCAAAAGCCAAGAAUUAGUGGGACAUUUCACAAAUGAAGAUCCUGCAUCGAAUAAAUAUGUCAGGCCAGAUCCAAACAAUUCCUCAAAUUCAGACAACACAAAUCCUAAAUUAACAGAUGAUUUUAUUACAUGGAAAAGUCUGAUCGUCUUCUUUGAGGGUGGAUCAUUGGAACACUCUCUGAGGAAGCUCUCGGCCUCGUCGUUGGUUUUGACAUAGCACAUGCAGUUUGGGAGGCUCUUAAAAAUGCAUAUGCCCAAGAAUCUCAAGAACGUGAAUUCACUUUGCGCCAAAAGCUUACCUAACUUUGAAAAGAAGACCACACAACAAUCACAGAGCACAUCUGAACCUUUAAAGGUCUCUGUGACAAUUUAGGAGCAAUUGGGAAGCCGGUUCCAGACCAAGAAAAGAUAUUAUGUCUUCACACAAGCCUUGGUCCGCAAUACGAAACAUUCCAACAACCAUGUUAAAACAUCCACGAACAUCCUAUUCUGAGUUGGUUUCUCAACUCCAAAAUUAUGAUCAAAGGCGAAAUUGGCUUUCCAACUACACCGACAUUCAAGCAUCAACACUCACACAUCAAGUAGCUUUUUAUGGUCAACAGCAACGUUCUCAAUCAAACAACUGAGGAUAUCGUGGACCAGCUCAAAAAUUUACUUCAAUUGGACGUGGAUUCCAAGCACAACAAAGCAAGGAUUCAAGUCAAGUCUACAACUCUUCUCCUACAAGAGCACAACUCCGACCUCCGCCACUAGGAGAACGUCGCAUGACACCUUCCAAAAGGGAGAAAUAUCGUGAUCAGCAAUGUCAAUACUGUGGAAUGAUGGGCCAUAUUGCGAAUAUAUGCUGGUGGGUACCAAAAAAAUCAAUUCCUCAAAAUGAAAUUCCACAAGCGGCAUUGACAUUGGACAAUACCAUAGCAGACACGGAAUGGACUACUGACACUAGAGCUUCCAAUCACAUGACAAGUAAGCAAGGUAUGUUAAAUAAUAUUAUUCAUUAAUUUGGUUCCGAUUCAGUGUUAAUAGGAGAAGGAUCUUCCAUGCCAAUUAUUGCAAUUGAAGACUCUUUUAUUAAAAAAAAAAAAAAAAAUCAGCCUUACCUCUAAAUGAUGUGUUAUUAGUUCCUGAUCUAAAAAAGAAUUUGCUCUCUGUCAGUCAGCUAACCACUCGGUUUCCUAUUAAUUGUGAAUUUUCUAAUGUGGAUUUUUGUGUUAAGGAACGGGAAACAGGACAAGCAAUGAUGACAGGGAAACACAAGGGUGAUCUCUAUGUCCGAUCCACUUCACCAGAACUUUAUUGUUCUAAUCGCUUCAAGGCUAGCACAGCUGAAGUAUGGCAUCAACUCCUUGGCCACCCUCAAUCUUCAGCUUUGCAAAUUUUAAAAAAUAGAGGGUUAAUUGAUGUUGUAGGGACAACAAAAUCACAACAUCUUUGUGAUAGUUGUCAAUUAGAAAAGCUUAGUCGGUUACCUUUUUCUUGUUCGAAACAUUCAAGUACUUUUGAGAAAAUUCAUUGUGAUUUAUGGGGACCUGCCCCUAUUCUUUCUAUUGUAAAACUCUGAUAUUAUGCUUGUUUGGUUGAUGAUUUUUCAAAGUAUACAUGGA